rnacentral:rRNA from 1 species
UACGUAGGGGGCGAGCGUUGUCCGGAUUUAUUGGGCGUAAAGAGCUCGUAGGCGGCUGUUCAAGUCGAACGUGAAAACUCGGAGCUCAACUCCGAGCCUGCGUUCGAUACUGGGCGGCUAGAGUCUGGUAGGGGGACCUGGAAUUCCUGGUGUAGCGGUGAAAUGCGCAGAUAUCAGGAGGAACACCGAUGGCGAAGGCAGGUCUCUGGGCAUUAACUGACGCUGAGGAGCGAAAGCAUGGGGAGCGAACAGG